ACAAUGAUGAAAUCCUGGCAUUGAGUUUUAAAGGUGAUAUUGCCUUUUGUCCUCUAAGAAGUUCUGAGUCU